GUGGUAAUGCCGGAUGCUCCAGUUGAUCGCAUGGUCUUCUGGGAAAGCUUUCGCGGUAUGGGAUGGGGUCGCGUCCUAUCAGCUUGACGGCGGGGUAACGGCCCACCGUGGCUUCGACGGGUAGCCGGCCUGAGAGGGCGACCGGCCACAUUGGGACUGAGAUACGGCCCAGACUCCUACGGGAGGCAGCAGUGGGGAAUAUUGCACAAUGGGCGCAAGCCUGAUGCAGCGACGCCGCGUGAGGGAUGGAGGCCUUCGGGUUGUAAACCUCUUUUAUCGGGGAGCAAGCGAGAGUGAGUUUACCCGUUGAAUAAGCACCGGCUAACUACGUGCCAGCAGCCGCGGUAAUACGUAGGGUGCAAGCGUUAUCCGGAAUUAUUGGGCGUAAAGGGCUCGUAGGCGGUUCGUCGCGUCCGGUGUGAAAGUCCAUCGCUUAACGGUGGAUCCGCGCCGGGUACGGGCGGGCUUGAGUGCGGUAGGGGAGACUGGAAUUCCCGGUGUAACGGUGGAAUGUGU
rnacentral:rRNA from 1 species